AACGAACGCUGGCGGCAGGCCUAACACAUGCAAGUCGAGCGCGCCCUUCGGGGUGAGCGGCGGACGGGUGAGUAACGCGUGGGAACGUGCCCUUUGGUUCGGAAUAGCCCUGGGAAACUGGGAGUAAUACCGGAUACGGUCGAGAGACGAAAGAUUUAUCGCCGAAGGAUCGGCCCGCGUUGGAUUAGGUAGUUGGUGGGGUAAUGGCCUACCAGGCCGACGAUCCAUAGCUGGUUUGAGAGGAUGAUCAGCCACACUGGGACUGAGACACGGCCCAGACUCCUACGGGAGGCAGCAGUGGGGAAUCUUAGACAAUGGGCGCAAGCCUGAUCUAGCCAUGCCGCGUGAGCGAUGAAGGCCUUAGGGUUGUAAAGCUCUUUCGUGGGGGAAGAUAAUGACUGUACCCCAAGAAGAAGCCCCGGCUAACUCCGCGCCAGCAGCCGCGGUAAU
rnacentral:rRNA from 1 species